UUUGGCAUUGCCACUGUCACUGCGGGCAGCGCAGUCGGCGUCAUGAGCAACCCACCACCCACUGCCCCGCGUGUGUGUGUGUGUGCGGGAGUGCACGAGAGCGGAUUGCACGUCGCACGAGUUUCCAUAGUGGUGUAGCUCCUGUUGUUUCCGAUGCUCCUGUUUUUGUUGCUCCCCUCUAUGGCGAAAAUGUCUCUUUGUAUGCAUUUUGCUCGCCUGGGUGUGUGUGUGCUGUGAAUGCAAUAUUUUUAAGCGGCUUGCUUUCCGUGAAUGCAUAAAAGGGGGCGAAGAAGAGUCAGCGGCCGCCUGUGCAAAUAGCGCCUUCUGUGCAGAGAAUAGAGAAGCAAGGCAAAUAAAUUCCAAGGCGACCCGUCCAACCGGCCCGCGAAUUGGCAGUCUAGUAGAGCCGCAACUUAUAAAAACAGCCAGACAAUAAAAACAAGCAGGGAUACUUGAAUGUUUACAGUGGAAAGCGGAAUGUAAUCGAUGCAACAUGGGUAACAACUUGAUAAACGUGAUGGUCACAGAAUGUCACUUAAUUAGUAUUAUAAUUUAAAGCAAGAACGAAACGAAGAGUACGAGGGAGAUAGAGGUGUGCACACCACGCCACCUAGCGUCGAUUCAUUCAUUUGCUUAACUAUUUGGUUUUGAACUAUUUGUAGUAUGUCUUAAUAAUUAGUUAGGGUGGGCGUGGUUCUCCGAUAAAACAAUUUUCCGCGUUUCUACAGACAGAAGGACGGACAUGCCUAAAUCGACUUGGCUAGUGAUCCUGAUCACGAAUAUAGAUACUAAAACGAUUCUAAGCGUCGGAAAAAUAAUAGUUGUCUCUUGAACUAGCACUUUGCCAAUCACCCAAAUGUCAGAAAUCCUUAACUCCAGUGUGCGUUAAUACCGUAACACAUUAUUGACACAUUUUCUGUGUACAUCGCUCGUCGCUCGACUGUUUAUUAUCCAUGGGACUAAAAUUUAAAUGCAAAGGCGUUGCGGGCGAUUACAUAAAAGAAAGCCGACGACCCUAAAUCAAAACAAAUUGAGCAGGCCCAACUGACCACCACAAGUGCAGAGUUUACCCACGAAGGGGAUGAUUGUUGCAGGUGGUUGGGGACUCGGGGUGCUGCACCUUGGCUUUGGCCGUAGCUAGGAUGAUUUGUGAUGGCCAGCCGGCCGAGUCGCUAGGGCCAAAAUCAACCUAGUCUGCACAGCAAACCCACUUUGAGGGGGGUUUGUUUUAGCAGGGCAAACGUAGAACCGGAGUUGAAAAACUGUACCACAGAAAGCGCAUGUCCAUUGCACUGUCUGCAGCUCUCUGUCUCUCUCUUUUUCCUCUUCUCUGCCGUUUGUUUGGGGUUGCACACGUUUUUCUGUUCCAGGGGUUUCUCUAGUGCAAGGCUGCAAUUUAUUUUGCACGAGCUUGUCAGUUGUUAGGCACGUUUCGCCACCCCCAAGCCCCGAGAGUCCCCUUACGCCUUGUGAGUGCUUGGAUUAUAUGGUUGAAAAAUUGAUUUUUUCAGUUCGUUGGCAUGUUGCCGCCUGGCCAUGUAGUUUCUUGUGUUUGACCAGGGGCAGGGACACGGACAAUGAUCCGGGGGGUAGGGGGCUGCACCGUGCGCAAUAGGUAGCUGAAAAUGAUUUUUAACCUACUUUAAGCACAGGUCGACAUUUGGACCAAGGGUCGUCGCAUGACCUUUCGUGUGUUUUCCAACGACUUAUAUACAUUUUUGAUUGAUCUUUUUGAAACAAGUUAUGGCUGGUAUACAUGCCAAGUGAGUUAUUUGUAAUACUCUAAUACUCAACGAAAACAUUUAAAUUUUUGAACACAUUAUUUUCUACACUUUAAUCAACCAUGUGAAGGGGGGAGAACAAGAUAUCAUUUUUUGGACCGCCCUAAUGUACAAUGUAUGUACAUAUAUUAUUUGAAAAUGAAUUAAGGUAACUUAUUUCGCUUGCAGUCCUUGGAAGGAUUUGGAAGCACACUGUUUUAAAGGCUUUAGGCAGAACAAUUUGAACUAGGUUCUACCCACUCCGUUUCCUUGUACUACCCUGAAAAGGUUUCCUGCUCUGCCGUUUGCCAACACUACACAUGUAUAUACCAUUUCUGUCCCACUGGAACCCGCCAUUUUUUGCGCACUCCUUCGUUAAUGACAUGGGUAUGCAUUUGUAUGGAACACAUGGAAACAAACAGAGUCUCGUGUAAACUUGCAAUGUUGUGCGAUUUGUUUACAAUUUGCUUUUCAUAGCCAACGCUAUGUGUUAUUUACGCUACUUUGCCCCGCUGCCCCGCUUACCAACACUGGCCAGCUGCAAUCCCGACAGAUAUUAUAGAAGAGAUCGAGUGGGACAUGGUUGGAGGAGAGAAAGAAGCGGAGACGUUACACUUCUAGUCAAAAGUAUAGCAAUAGAGAACAAUGGAGCUGGAAACAAAUGGCAAUGGAGAAGCCAUUAGACACACAAAGAAAAGAACGAGCUAAAACAAAAAUACAAAAAAAGGUUUGGAGAAUAAGAGCUAAAAUAGAUGGACAAAGAAAUGAAGAACGUUCGUGGUAGCCAGCAAAAGCGUCUCAAUCGGUAGCUUCGCAAUGAUUGUUUUUUUGGGAGUGUUCAGAACUUCAGAAAAGGGCACUGGGCAUAUGGGAAGAUAUAUAGACAAUAGAUAACGUCAUAAAAGUCAAUACAUUCUUAGGGGCCAAAGUAUGAUAAACGAUAUAAGAUAUAUCUAGUAUACCAAGCCAAGUAUGUACAAAAAAUUGGUUUUCAUCGUUGGGAUUCUAACUAGCUUUUCAUUCAUGAGAGCGUGGUGCUCAAAUAAAUAUUUUAUUUGUAUACUUCCUCACCCUCGGACUCCACUCAUUGCAGCGAGACUUAUGCGAGCAAUGGAGCGUUCUCCUCAGCUGCUAUGCAAAAUCCAGCACACAACUUUUGUUCAAGUACGCUUUAUGGGGCUGCAGACGCCGCUAUUGGAGUUUUAGCGAACAGAAGUUUUAAAUUAAAUGGCACAGAACCUUAAACAUGGUCAUGGUAGACCUUAAUUGCGACCUUGUUGCAUUAGGUAAAAGUCGAGUCCGACUUUGCCCCUCCUUGGGAUCCCGUCUGGCAUUUCAAUUUUAUGGUUAUUGUUAUAACAUUAUCAACAUGCUGUUAUGCAGCAGCCAGCAGUCCAACAUCUCUUUGCACACUCGCCCCACGGCGAUUUGUGCGGCUUAGUCGUCGUCUUGGCUUCAGACCUAUUAAAUAUCAGUCACAUUGUUGUUUGUCAGUGAUUUUUAUUGAGCGACACGAACAACGACACACGUUGUUCUGGGUUUUGAGCGACUUACAAUACACAAUACAUAAGAUCUUGUUGCUGUAUCUGCCUUUUAAAAUAAUAAAUGUCUGACGAGCGUGGACUAGUCUUCGUCCUGGAAGUCACUUACGUCUUCAGCAGACAGGGGCAGAUUGGGUGGCAGCGGAUAUCAAUAGGGCGUCAGGAAGAGUGUGCGAAGGCAGCUGCUAUAUACAGCAGUAGAUUUGCAAUCGGUCUUUUUUUAACUUCGGCUACCCUUGUAGUUAUAAGAAAUAGUAUAUUAUUUACGU